GGCUCAGUGGCAGAGCGUUCGACUGUUAAUCGAAUGGUCGUAGGUUUGACCCCUAACUGCCGAGCCA
rnacentral:tRNA from 2 species